rnacentral:rRNA from 1 species
GAUGAACGCUGGCGGCGUGCCUAAUACAUGCAAGUCGAGCGCCGAAGCUUGGUGCUUGUACCCAUUGGAUUAGCGGCGGACGGGUGAGUAACGCGUGGGUAAUCUGCCUUUGAGCGGGGGACAACAUCGGGAAACGAAUGCUAAUACCGCAUAAUAUCUUUAACCACAAGAUUCAAGUGUGAAAGACGCAUUUGCAGUACUCAAAGAUGGUCCCCCGUUGUAUUAGCUAGUUGGGGAGGGAAAGGCCCACCAAGGCGAUGAUACUUAGCCGGACUGAGAGGGUGACCGCCCACACGGGAACGGAGACAGGGCCCAGACUCCUAGGGGAGGCACCAGAGGGGAACUUUGGACAAUGGGGGAAGUCUUGACGCAGCAAUCCGGCGUAGGUGAGAAAGGUCUUGGGUCGGUAAACUCCUUUUGUUGGGAAAGAAGAUCGGGAGAGUGAAAAGCUCAUGUAGUGACGGUACCUACACAGAAAGCAACGGCUAACUACGUG